CGGACGCGAACAGAUAGGGCUCGUAGGCUCCGGCGGCGGAGCUCGGCGUGCGCUGCGCUGCCAUCUCGGGCAAUCAAACUCGCCACGGUACCAUCGCCUCCCCACACCCAGCGGUAGAUCCGCCAUCUGACGACGCCGGAGGAGAAAACUCCAGCCUUCAGGGAAUGGAGUCCAUGGCAAGUUUUCCUCCAAGUGUCAGGUCAACAACAUCGACGGGACUUGAACUUGUUUGAUGUUUAGCGGCACAACACAGCCCAUGGGAGCCGACAUCAUUUACUUUGCGUUAAAUGCUGGAUUAGAAAUGCCUUCGUUCAUGUGCUAUGAACCUAGUUCCAUUCAUCCAUUGUUGUAGACUUCUGCUACAACUUGUACACCUAGUUAAAUCUAGCAAUUUAUGCGUACCUGCUAAGCUGUUAUGCCUUGGGUUGUAAAAAAUAUUUGGAUUGCAACUCCAGUUAUGUGCUUCAUCGUA